UAUGGCUUUGUUGCCCCCAUGUUAAUUUUGUAGCUGCUCCCUCACCCUUAGCUCCAAGUAUAAAGUACUAUAAUAGCUAGAGUUUCGAGUAAGAGACUUGGUAGCAGCUUUUAACUUUAAGGCCUGGCAUCUUCUCAAAUCAUCAUACAUCAUUAAGUUUCAGUGUACAAGUGAUUAACUCCUAAUUCUAUAGGUUUUUUUUAAAACCUACUGUACUUUCUUGCUUAUUAACAUUCCCGUAUAUUGCGUAAUUAAAAAUUCAAAGCCUUGUUUAUGCACUUGAGGGUUUAUGGCUACUAGUUUUGACAUGUGCCAUGCAGUAUUUCUGUUUUAUAAGAGGUUGAGAAAGAAAGGUAAACUUCUUCCUGAUGUAAAUAGUCUCUGUGUUUGGAUAUUCUUUACAGGUUUCUUUGUACAUUUUCUGUGGGAGGCACCCUUCUUCUGUGGCCAGUGUACUCCACCUACUACAUAGUUUGUAACCUAAGUGCCUUUGGGGUAACUUAAGCUGCUUCAUUAAUCUGAGCCAUUCCUUCCCAGGCACAGGGAGGAGGCUGCCAGGUGGCUGUUGGCCAAGCCUUCCUGGGACAGACCCCAUUCUCCCUGCUCAUCGACGACCCUACUGUCGGUUAUGUCUGAGGCUGGUAUAUUUCCAGUGUGUUUCCAAGUUCUGUUUGGUUCAGAAAUUAGAACAAAUUACCCAAAUUAAGCUCUCAAUGCUUAUUUCAAUCAGCCAACUUGUUCUUUGGGCUUUUGUUUCUCUACUAAGUAGCGCCCCUCUGCAUAUAUAUUGAAGUAAGCCGUAUAUUUUAGGGGUCCAUUUUCUCCAUCUCUCCCUCCAAAAAAAAACCUCCAGACUAGCCACACUGUGUUUCAUUCCAAGCAUCCCCUCUCCCAUCCUACCUCAUCCAGCAGGUCUCUAAGCUUCCUUCUCUGACUCUACCCACCCAGUCAGCAAGUCUGAUACUGCCUCCUCUAACAUUCUGACUUCUGCAUGACUUUCAGAAUGCCCAGCCCUCCAUCUUCCACUGUCUCAUGUUGAGAUGGUGCCCUCAACAGGGUCUUCUGGAGAAAAACAGUGCCUCCUGGUGCAAGCAUGCACUCACUCCUCUGAGGUGAGCCAGCCUCUGGACCUUCACUCAUCUGCCUACAUCUCGGCCCCUCCACUCUUCCAGCUGUCAAAGCAGCAGCCAAAUUCUAGAUCCCAGUGGCUCUUGCACAUCCUACAGAAGCAACCCGCCAUCAGGUUUCUCUGCUUUUUAUACUCAAGCUCUGAAGCUUGGCAGGCAGCCAGGCUACUCUUCAUUAGGUGAGGACUGGAGUGAACUUGGAGAAACAGAUCCAUCACCUGGAGCUGUUUCCUGGAUGUUAGAAAUGCCGUCCAGCUCCACUGAGUUUCUGGAUGCUGUGGCAGGACUCGGGUGUCUACUUCUUGUGCAAGCAGGCUGCUUUGAAUUUUCAGUUUUCACUUCUUUUUCCUUCCCCUUCAAACGCUGUGAGGAAUCCUGUCAUUUCUCACUGUCUUGCUGUGACAGCAGUUAUGGUCCUGGAUUGAGAAACCAAGAAAGGGGAGGCCCUCACUCUCCUCUCUCUCUCUCUCUCUCUCUCUCUCUCUCUCUCUCUCUCUCUCUCUCUCUCUUCUCUCUCUCUCUCUCUCUCUCCCCAUUGCUUGUGCGGAUUCUAGAACCAGCUUUUUCAGCAGCCGUUUGACCCCUCCCCCCACCCCCUACCAUAGUGAAUGCUCUGUUUGUUUUUGUGGGGUGGCUUCAGCUUCUCUUUGUUUUGUUUUACAAAUAUUUACUCUAGCACCUGACUUACAGAAUACAAAUAUUUAUCAAAAAUUAAAAAUUCUUGGCACAACACUCCUGUCCUAUGAAAAGGCUUCCAUUGUUCCUACAACUGCAGAGAUAGAGAAAAUGAAACACUAUUCUUCAGCACAGUGUGCCGAGCACUGCUUGCUGGUUUUGUGCAUGAUGUCAGUCUUGCCAUCACCAGCACUGCAGAAGGUGGUGUUACUUGGUCUGAGUGGCCUUUAGUUUCGCAUAUAGAGGUUGGUUACAAAAGCAGAGGAACAAUAGGAAUUUUUAUAGUUUAAAGCAGCGCUGCCCUUGGUCUGAAGUCAUGGGAAUCCUCAUCACAGUCAGUCCUGUAAGCUCUGUUGGCUCAAGUC